GAGCCUCUUCGUAUCAUUUCUUCCCAGCCACAUUCUCUCUCUUCGGAAAAAGAAGAGGGUCCGCCGCCGUGCUCUCACCGGCCGCCUGCCACCCUCCUCUGCUCCUUCUCUUCUCUGCCACAGCUUUGACUCGCAUCGGGGUUGCUCUUAGCGGUCGCACAGCAAGGAGCUUGGUUGAUAGCAAAGCGACGGACGGUGACAUUGGGGCCGCCGCCGCCACCUCCUCCUCGCUAGUCCUCAACGCGGGCCAUCGCAGCUUCGCAGCACGAUCGCCGCCGGGCUCCCUUGCUCCCCCCCACCCCCCUCCCGUUGGGUAAAGGAUUUAAACCUAACCUUUUCGCACGAUAGCCGCAGGAUCAUCCACUGGCAGAUAGGCCGCAUCACCUCGUCCUCCCACCCGCGCGGCGGCAACAUCAAAUCGAGGAUCAGCCGGGGCAGACUCAACUCUUCUGUUAAGGUUCAUUCAUUGAAUUGAAAAGGAAAGGCAUUUCCAGAGAAUGGCAAAAUCAAGGAUCACUAUGCUUCAAGAUUGUUUGUCAUCUCAAUAAUUUGGUGGCUGAGGUCCAAAUACAUGGUACCACACCGCUGAACUGCAAGCCAGCGGCAUUGUUGACGACUGUGUGCGCCGCGGGCAGAGGUACAAGGGGGCUGCACAAGCACAAACUGCGGGCAGCGGUUCGCCUCCGUUUCAAUGAAUAAGAUCCACGUAUUUUGAUGUUGUAACUUUGACAAUGAACUAGGCCAACAAUGUAUAAGUUAUGUGGCUUGAAACUCUUUUCGAAUACAAAUUCAACAACGUAACUUUUGUCGCACAUAACCAAAAUGUU